rnacentral:rRNA from 1 species
GAUGAACGCUAGCGGCGUGCCUAAUACAUGCAAGUCGAGCGAACAGACGAGGAGCUUGCUCCUCUGACGUUAGCGGCGGACGGGUGAGUAACACGUGGAUAACCUACCUAUAAGACUGGGAUAACUUCGGGAAACCGGAGCUAAUACCGGAUAAUAUAUUGAACCGCAUGGUUCAAUAGUGAAAGACGGUUUUGCUGUCACUUAUAGAUGGAUCCGCGCCGCAUUAGCUAGUUGGUAAGGUAACGGCUUACCAAGGCAACGAUGCGUAGCCGACCUGAGAGGGUGAUCGGCCACACUGGAACUGAGACACGGUCCAGACUCCUAUGGGAGGCAGCAGUAGGGAAUCUUCCGCAAUGGGCGAAAGCCUGACGGAGCAACGCCGCGUGAGUGAUGAAGGUCUUCGGAUCGUAAAACUCUGUUAUUAGGGAAGAACAAAUGUGUAAGUAACUAUGCACGUCUUGACGGUACCUAAUCAGAAAGCCACGGCUAACUACGU